rnacentral:rRNA from 1 species
AUCUAUGGCCAUGCCACCCUGAACAUGCCUGAUCUCAUCUGUUCUCAGAAGCUAAGCAGGGUUGGGCCUGGUUAGUACUUGGAUGGGAGACCGCCUAGGAAUACCAGGUGCUGUAGGCA